rnacentral:lncRNA from 1 species
UAUUGGAGAAACCAAAGAUGCUGGCAAAAUGCAUUAGCAGUCUCUGCCCCACCCCCACACACAGCCCCUCCUCAUUGUCCUUGGGCUAAGAGCAAGCAUCCUUCUCAUUCCACAGAGACCAGAUACCCAGCUGCAUCUGGUUGGCCUCACGGAAGCCUGAGAAGUCAUGAAGGACCUGGAGCUCCCUUGCUGUUCCCAUCUCUUGCCAUCUCCAUCAUCCAGGGCCGGUGGUCCACUUUGAGAUGUCUGUGCUGUCUGCCUCAGGAUGAGGGGCUGACUCUCUGACUUCAAGAUAGGAAUAAAAGGAGGAGGAGUCUGCUACACCCACCAUCAAGUGCGCUCACAGUAUUUACUCAACCAGUGACAAGGAGGGCCAAACAAGAGGAAAAAUCCUAGAACUGCAGCAAGACAGAUGGGAAUCACACUAGAGGAGGGACUUCCCAGGGCAUCUGAGGGAGCAGGGCAGUGGUGGGGGCUCGGCCCAGCCCUCCAGACUUCCCAGAGAUGGUGGAGGAAGGACAAGGGGAAAGAAGGAAGCAUUCAAGUGGUGGGCUGGCUGCACGGCCACACUCCUGCACUGCACUGCACUGUGCCCUAGCCCCCGCACUUAGGAGGGCAGCCGGUGUUUCCUCCUACUUUCAACUUCCUGUUCAUCCCCAGUACCCUGGCCUUUGCAAGGACAGAGCCUUUGCGUUUGCAUUUAAAUUCCUGUCCCUUCUCUGCACAGCCCUGUGAAUUUGCACACAUACCCCCACCCCCAAGGCCACACAGCAGCCUUCUUCAAUGUCGUUGGCUCCAUCAGCCCUGGUGUCUCUGCCACACGAAGGGGGAGCCUCCCACGGUGAUUAUAAGCUCCCUAGAGAGAGAGACCUGUCAUUAGGAGCAGACUUUCCACCUCCCUGAAGCGGCUGGCUCUCCUGCUUUUCCUAAGAAUAAUCUACCAGGGCUCUCGCAGACUGCCCGCCUACAUGGGGCCUGCAGUGCGGAUGUGCAACAGCCUCUGGGAGGAGAGAGGGUUCCCAGGGCUCCCACUUGGGGUGGGUCGCCUCUGUCUUGGAGAGCUGAUGUCUGGAAGUCCAGCUACUUUAACCAUGCCACCCUCCCUACCUUCUGGAGAAAACUAAGCCCAGGAAAAAGGGAGGUCAGAGGAGCUGCCACAGGGCAAGUGGCUCCUGGGGGGGCUUCCCUCUGUGGGGGCUUCCCUCUGGGGGCUCCUUCCCUAAAACGCUUAGGAGGUGUACAGCUCCCUCAAGCUCUCUCUGGGCUCCAGGAGGC